GUCAGGAUGGCCGAGUGGUCUAAGGCGCCAGACUCAAGACGUCAGUCUUCUCCAGUGAUGGGGAUUCUGGUCUCCGAAUGGAGGCGUGGGUUCAAAUCCCACUUCUGACA
rnacentral:tRNA from 1 species